rnacentral:misc_RNA from 1 species
GAUGAAGAACGUAGCGAAAUGCGAUAAGUAAUGUGAAUUGCAGAAUUCAGUGAAUCAUCGAAUCUUUGAACGCACCUUGCGCCCUUUGGACUUCUGAAGGGCAUGCCUGUUUGAGUAUCAUGAACACCUCAACUCCUUAUGGUCUUCCAUGAUGAGCUUGGACUUUGGGGGUUUUGCUGGCCUACAGUCAGCUCCUCUAAAAUAAAUCAGCUUACCGGUGUUUGGUGGGUAUCAUGGGUGUGAUAACUAUCUACGCUCGUGGUUUUCCACCAGGUAACCUCAGCAGUGGAGGUUCACUGGAGCUCAUAGAUGUCUCUCCUCAGCGAGGACAGCCCUUUGAAUGUUUGAUCUCAAAUCAGGUAGGACUACCCGCUGAACUUAAGCAUAUCAAUAAGCGGAGGA